rnacentral:lncRNA from 1 species
AGCAAUCCUUCUUCUUCUCAGAGCAAUUCCUCCUCUUCUCAAAUUCCUCCUCUUAUCAACCUCUCUUCUCAUUCUCUCUUCUCUUCUUCUGAAAACUAUCUCUAUGUGUGAUUGUAACGUCAAAGGCUUACCAGACUAUUGCCCAGACGAGUGGAAGUUAUUUUUCAGUUACUGUAUCUGCACUUUGUAAGUAGUUAGUUCGCUUCAGUUUGUUGUAACAGUUUGUUAAGUUUGCUUGUAACAAUUUGUUUAGUUUGUUAAGUUUGUAACAGUUUGUUUGCUUCAAUUUGUUUGCAACAGUUUGUUUGCUUCAGUUUGUUUGUAAUAGUUUAUUAAGUUUAAAGUUUGUUUAUGACAGAUUAUCAAAGUAUUUGAUAAGAAAUAGUUGUUAUGACAAUACGUGCAGUAUUUAGCAUAAAG